rnacentral:rRNA from 1 species
GACGAACGCUGGCGGCGUGCUUAACACAUGCAAGUCGAGCGAGGCCCUUCCUUCGGGAAGGAGCCCUAGCGGCGAACGGGUGAGUAACACGUGGGCAACCUGCCCCUAGCACUGGGAUAACGUCCGGGAAACCGGGCUAAUACCGGAUAUGACCUUUGAGGGCAUCCUCUUUGGUGUAAAGGAUUCUGGCUAGGGAUGGGCCCGCGGCCUAUCAGCUUGUUGGUGGGGUAACGGCCUACCAAGGCGACGACGGGUAGCCGGCCUGAGAGGGCGACCGGCCACACUGGGACUGAGACACGGCCCAGACUCCUACGGGAGGCAGCAGUGGGGAAUAUUGCACAAUGGGCGAAAGCCUGAUGCAGCGACGCCGCGUGAGGGAUGACUGCC